GACAAUGUGGUGUAGUGGUUUGAGUGUUGGACUAUGACUCUGGAGAUCAGGCUUCGAUUCCUGCAUGGCCA